UACGUAGGGGGCUAGCGUUGUCCGGAAUCAUUGGGCGUAAAGCGCGUGUAGGCGGUCCGGUAAGUCCGCUGUGAAAGUCGGGGGCUCAACCCUGGAAAGGCCGUGGAAACUGGUGAGCUAGAGUGCGGUAGGGGCAGAGGGAAUUCCCAGUGUAGCGGUGAAAUGCGUAGAGAUUGGGAAGAACACCGGUGGCGAAAGCGCUCUGCUGGGCCGCAACUGACACUAAUGGACGAAAGCUAGGGGAGCGAAUGGG
rnacentral:rRNA from 1 species